UUCUACAGUCAACAUUGGGGGCUGCUGUGAGGCUCUUUGGGUAAAGCCAAUCACGUCUUAAUCACCAAAAGGAUUUUUCAGUCUUAGAUCCUUCAAUAAAUACCAAGCACUUACCACCUGGAUGGUGCACAAUGUUUGGAUAUUAUGAAUGAAACUGCCACGAACUUUUGUGAACAAGUCUUUGUGUGAACACAAGCAUUUAUUUGUCUUGGAAAAAAACCUGGAAUGGAAUGACUAGGUCAUAUGGAAUUGAAUUCUUGGAAGAUGAGGCUGGAAAAGUUCGUCGUCAUUACGUCAACAUGCUAACAGAUGGUCUGCAAAGCACUUCUCAGGUUUCAUUCAGUAUUUCUGUGAAGAAGCCAGGGGAUCAUGAUGUUCUACUGUGAGAAUGACAGAAAGAGCAAACAAGAACACCUGGGUUACACGAGCUGACUUGCUUCUCUUCAAUGGACAGUAUGAACACAGAGAAAAGAAUUCUACAAAAAAGAACAACAGAGAAUAAGACAGAGAUCUUGGAGAACAAGAAUAUGACCACCAAUAGAAGGAUGGGAAGAUAACGGCCAAACGGUAGACGAACACAACAUGGGAUUCCAUUCUUGUCCUGAGAAACUCCCUAGGCAUUGGAGUAUAGAAGAUGAGUAACUUGAUGGCAGAUGGAAGCUACUCAUAAAGAACAACUCCUGAAGGUAACACUAGCCAAAGUGAAAGACAUACAAAGUCUCUGGC